GACGAACGCUGGCGGCGUGCUUAACACAUGCAAGUCGAACGCUGAAGCCCGAGCUUGCUCGGGUGGAUGAGUGGCGAACGGGUGAGUAACACGUGAGUAACCUGCCCAUGUCUCUGGGAUAAGCGCUGGAAACGGCGUCUAAUACUGGAUACGAGCAUCCACCGCAUGGUGAGGUGUUGGGAAGAUUUAUCGGACAUGGAUGGACUCGAGGCCUAUCAGCUAGAUGGUGAGGUAAUGGCUCACCAUGGCGACGACGGGUAGCCGGCCUGAGAGGGUGACCGGCCACACUGGGACUGAGACGCGGCCCAGACUCCUACGGGAGGCAGCAGUGGGGAAUAUUGCACAAUGAGCGCAAGCCUGAUGCAGCAACGCCGCGUGAGGGAUGACGGCCUUCGGGUUGUAAACCUCUUUUGUCAGGGAAGAAGCGAAAGUGACGGUACCUGGAGAAAAAGCACCGGCUAACUACGUGCCAGCCGCCGCGGUAAAAC
rnacentral:rRNA from 1 species